ensembl:lncRNA
GCACAAUUAUGCCAAAGUACUGUGGAAAGAUCCCCUUACUAACCAGUGGCAGGGUCCCGACCCUGUUCUUAUUUGGGGUCGGGGUUCGGUCUGUAUAUAUAUUAAAGAAAAACAAUCUGCUCGCUGGCUUCCUGAGAGGCUUGUAAAGCAAGUUGAUUCCUGUGAAAUGGCUUCUCUGCCUCCAGUUAACCUUCCUUCCAGGGAGGACAAACCUCUCUGAGAAAUAUUUCUUUUCUUUAUCUACAGGAAAUGCUUGGAAAACGAUCACCCCUACGCUGGUGCCUCCUGGCUGUCCUGAGGGUCUGCCUUGCUGGUUUUGACGCCCCGGCCGGCAACGAUCUCCUCGCCUCCCUUUUUGGGCCACCCUGUGACUGCCGUGGAGGGUAUACACGGGUAACACCGCAGCGGUUCUCUUACUCCAACGACUGCAAUGAAUACACCGCCUAUCUCACCUAUCGACCAUCCACCGGUGGGGGAUUUAAGCAACGGUGGGAGUGUGUUGCCAAACCCCGAGUCAUUCCCUCUCUGCCUGGGUCCCCUGGUCCCUGCCCCUCCCCCUGUCGCUACUAUCAAGCCAUUCAUUCCCUUUGCUAUAACAGCGUCCAGCAGUGUUCUUCUAAUAAUAAGGUUUAUUUGACGGCAGUUCUACAGCAAGCCUAUGCAGGAACCUUUGGUGGGGAAACCUCCGCCACUCUCCAGGGACAUACUAACAAAUAUGCCCAGGCGUCUUGUUCGUCUGCCGAUGUUGGCCACGAUGUCUGUUGGCCCGAACGUGCACCCCUACAUGUAUCAGACGGAGGGGGCCCUUCUGACAGAGCCAGAGAACAUGAGGUCCAGCAGCACAUUGAGGAACUCAUUCGGGCCCAAUUCCCCUCCCUCCAUUAUCAUCCUCUUGUACGUCCCCGGACUCACAGAUUGAGUCUCGAUGAUCAGAUGUCUGUCAUUUUGGAAUCCACUCACCUUAUGCUAAAUAAGACCAAUCCUGUGUUGGCUGCGGACUGCUGGCUUUGCUUGCCCCUCGGUACUCCCAUUCCUAUGGCGUUACCCCCCCUUGGUAACCUUGCUCCUGCCGAAAAUCCUUCCCUUCCGGUAAAUUGUUCCCUAGGCCCCCCUUUUAGGAUUCAACCGAUCCCUUUGAAUCAGUCACUCUUUGUAGCCCCCUGCUUUGAGGGUACCACUCCCAAUGCCUCUGUCUCCAUUGAUGUGGGUUUUCUCCCUCAUGUGAAUUGUUCCUCUGUCCUUCGUACUAGCAGUUUCCUGUGUCCCCCUCUAGGCCAUGUUUUUCUCUGUGGAGGGAAUAUGGCGUUCCCAGC